rnacentral:sRNA from 1 species
GGUUCGAUUUCAGUACCUCGAGGUACUAGGAGUAUCCGACCUGCUGCCUGUGGUUGUGUCGAAACCAAAAUUUUUGGACAGCCUCUUUGGGGUGUCCAUUGGGGCAAA